CGUGAGCGGCGGACGGGGGAGUAACGCGUGGGUAACCUGCCUCAUACAGGGGGAUAACAGUUAGAAAUGACUGCUAAUACCGCAUAAGACCACGGUACCGCAUGGUACAGUGGUAAAAACUCCGGUGGUAUGAGAUGGACCCGCGUCUGAUUAGGUAGUUGGUGGGGUAACGGCCUACCAAGCCGACGAUCAGUAGCCGACCUGAGAGGGUGACCGGCCACAUUGGGACUGAGACACGGCCCAG
rnacentral:rRNA from 1 species